AGAGUUUGAUCCUGGCUCAGAACGAACGCUGGCGGCAUGCUUAACACAUGCAAGUUGAACGAAGGUCCGAGGCUUGCUUCGGGUACCUUAGUAGCGAACGGGUGAGUAACGCGUGGGAAUCUACCUAGAAAUGGGGAAUAACUACUGGAAACGGUAGCUAAUACCGCAUAAUCCCUUCGGGGCAAAGGCUUCGGCCGUUUUUAGAUGAGCCCGCGUUAGAUUAGAUUGUUGGUGGGGUAAUGGCCUACCAAAUCUUCUAUCUAUAGCUGGUCUGAGAGGAUGAUCAGCCACACUGGGACUGAGACACGGCCCAGACUCCUACGGGAGGCAGCAGUGGGGAAUAUUGGACAAUGGGGGAAACCCUGAUCCAGCAAUGCCGCGUGAGUGAAGAAGGCCUUAGGGUUGUAAAACUCUUUCAGAAGUGAAGAUGAUGACUGUAACUUCAGAAGAAGCUCCGGCUAACUCCGUGCCAGCAGCCGCGGUAAUACGGAGGGAGCUAGCGUUGUUCGGAAUUACUGGGCGUAAAGGGCGUGUAGGCUGUAUGGUAAGUCAGAGGUGAAAUCCCUAAGCUUAACUUAGGAACUGCCUUUGAUACUAUCAUGCUAGAGAUCGAGAGAGGUUAGUGGAAUUCCAAGUGUAGAGGUGAAAUUCGUAGAUAUUUGGAAGAACACCAGUGGCGAAAGCGACUAACUGGCUCGUUUCUGACGCUGAGACGCGAAAGCGUGGGUAGCAAACAGGAUUAGAUACCCUGGUAGUCCACGCCGUAAACGAUGAGUGCUAGCCG
rnacentral:rRNA from 1 species